rnacentral:rRNA from 1 species
AGCUCAAUAAGCGUAUACCAACGUUGUUGCAGUUAAAACGCUCGUAGUCGAAUUUUGGCGGGUGUCGCAAUCGCUCCGCGAGGAGUGUUUUGCGACGGCCGCCUUUGUGGAUGGGGGUCUGUUGUUCCUUUAUUGGAAAAAUGGGCUUCCGCCACCGUUUACUGUGAAAAAAUUAGAGUGUUCAAAGCAGGCUUAGGCCGUUGGAUACAUUAGCAUGGAAUAAUGAGAUAGGGCCACGGCGGUCUAUUUUGUUGGUUUGCACGUUGUGGUAAUGAUUAACAGGAACGGUUGGGGGUAUUCGUAUUCAAUUGUCAGAGGUGAAAUUCUUGGAUUUGUGGAAGACGAACUACUGCGAAAGCAUUUACCAAGGAUGUUUUCAUUAAUCAAGAACGAAAGUAGG